rnacentral:rRNA from 1 species
GACGAACGCUGGCGGCGUGCUUAACACAUGCAAGUCGAGCGGUAAGGCCCUUUCGGGGGUACGACGAGCGGCGAACGGGUUGAGUAACACGUGGGUGACCUGCCCUCAGCUCUGGGAUAAGCCUGGGAAACCGGGUCUAAUACUGGAUAUGACUCCAUGACGCAUGUUGUGGGGUGGAAAGCCUUGUGCGGCUGAGGAUGGGCCCGCGGCCUAUCAGCUUGUUGGUGGGGUGAUGGCCUACCAAGGCGACGACGGGUAGCCGGCCUGAGAGGGCGACCGGCCACACUGGGACUGAGACACGGCCCAGACUCCUACGGGAGGCAGCAGUGGGGAAUCUUGCGCAAUGGGCGAAAGCCUGACGCAGCGACGCCGCGUGAGGGAUGACGGCCU